rnacentral:rRNA from 1 species
UGGCGCACGGGUGAGUAACACGUGAGUAACCUGCCCCCGAGAGCGGGAUAGCCCUGGGAAACUGGGAUUAAUACCGCAUAGUAUCGAAAGAUUAAAGCAGCAAUGCGCUUGGGGAUGGGCUCGCGGCCUAUUAGUUAGUUGGUGAGGUAACGGCUCACCAAGGCGAUGACGGGUAGCCGGUCUGAGAGGAUGUCCGGCCACACUGGAACUGAGACACGGUCCAGACACCUACGGGAGGCAGCAG